GAGAAAAUCCUGUCUCACCUGCAAUCCCUAAGGAAGGUGUUGGCAGAAUCAGAAUUUCUGGACUGGAGAGUGAGUGAAGAGAAGAGACACCAGGACUACCUGGUACAGGGGGUCCCCUCUGUUCUUCAGCAGUCUGAAUGAGUCUUUGGGUAUUUAUUUUUCCACAAGCCCCUCUUGAAGAAACACGUGGGAUCAUAUCCAAGAGGCAUCCUGGCACCCUGCAAAACUCUAAUCCAGUUGGAGUGGCUGGUGCAGAUCCUGGGAAGGUUUGGCAAGCACCACCUCCAAGUGCAGCUGCUUAUUAUCCGCACUUUAAAUCAAUGUCAUGGUGCUGCUCAUUUUCAUCCCAGGCUGAGCAAUAGAGGGACACUUGUUAACAUGGAAUUAACACUCCCCCCCUGCUUCUCAGAGCCUGGAUUGGUUUUGGACAGAAUAUAGAGGAGAAUGGCAACAGGGGAGGGAAAAGGAGAACGGUGGGGUAAAGUAGGUAAUUACACUGCAGUCGCUAAUCCGCUGCACCCCCAGCCCUGCCCUAUUGUUACAGCCUCCCUGGAUACAGCGGAAGCACUUUUGUCCUUUAACUCAGAAGGGAAAAUUCAGGUCUGGGGGUUGCAUAUACAUUUCUUGUCUCCUCCGGGAGAGGAGUGAAGCCGAGCGGCGCCGCAUAUGAGGCUGAGUUUGAGCGGCUGCUGGCAGAGCCGGAGCGCACCGUGCUGGGGCUGCUGGCUGAGCUGGACCACACCUUCUAGCUACCCGUGCCGAAAAAUCACUGCCGGUGGCCGAGGGGGUUGCACAGCUUCACAGACUCAUCGGGCAGCUAGAGGCCAGGAUGUUUGGAGCAUAAUAAGCCGCUUGAGUGAAAUGAGGCUCCACCUCCCUUCGGGGCUCACCAAGGAGCUGGAGAAGAGCCUGAGCUCCUGCUGCCACGAAAGUGAUGCUCUGUGGGAGGCUCUGGAGAAGUUCAGAGACACAGAUUGCCCCAUGGGUCUCGCCACAACAAAGACAAUGCUGGAGACUGGCAUGACUCCUCUCCCACAGCUUUUGGCAGAGAGAAAAAGUGUGCAGUGGGAUGAGGAGGAGGAGCAGGAUGAGGCCAGAGAACCCUGCUGAGGCUAGGAGCUGGCUGGUAGCUCUCAGGUGGUCAUUGCCAGGAGAUGCAGGACGUGGACACAGUAGGUGGACUCUGCAAGAUGCCACCUGUGCAUCUUCAUCCUAGGUGCUGCCCAUACUCCUAGGGAGACAAAUGGUUUUAUUAUGAGAAGCUCCCCUUCCAGCUGCUUCAAUUAGCAACCAAUCUUGUGUUGCUGCUCACCAUGUAGGUAAUGAAUUAAAAAACAAAAAAUACCACCCCCAAUUUUCCUUUUGUGUAUAUGUGUGUGUGUGUGUGUGUGUGUGUGUGUGUAUGCAUCAGCUAGAUUUUA
rnacentral:lncRNA from 1 species